rnacentral:misc_RNA from 1 species
GAUGAAGAACGUAGCGAAAUGCGAUACGUCGUGUGAAUUGCAGAAUUCAGUGAAUCAUCGAAUCUUUGAACGCACAUUGCACCUCUCGGUAUUCCGGGAGGUAUGCCUGUUCGAGCGUCAUUUGUACCCUCAAGCUCUGCUUGGUGUUGGGUGUUUGUUCCGCCUCUGUGUGUGAACUCGCCUCAAAACAAUUGGCAGCCGGCGUACUUGUUUCGGAGCGCAGCACAUUUUGCGAUCCAGAUCAACGUACAGCGGCAUCCAAGAAGCCUUAUUUAACGCUCUUGACCUCGGAUCAGGUAGGGAUACCCGCUGAACUUAAGCAUAUCAAUAAGCGGAGGA